rnacentral:lncRNA from 1 species
GGUCACAUUAUGAUUUGGAAACAAACAAUACUAAAAUCCCAGUGGCUUAAUACACAACAGUUUAUUUAUUUGUUCUCUCAAGGUCUGCUGAGGGUACAGGCAACUUUCCAGGGCAGCUGUCUUCCAUGUGGGAGCUCAGAACCUCAGGCUAAUUCAAUCAUGUGGCAUGUCCAUAACAAGUUCUUCUGGGAUUGCUGCGGCAGUGAAGAAAAUCUGCACGGUCCUAUAGUGAGAUUUCAGAUACAUUCUCUAUUAAAGAACUGUCUUGGGAGCUACAUCAGAUUCCUUGAAUGGAAGCAGGUGAAUUGUUGUAAAAUGUUUCUUCUUAAGUUGGAGUUUGAGGACUUUGAAAUAUUUCCCUGUUUCUCAAAGCAAUAUGGGCAGAUAAUAUAUAGUCCGUGUGUUCCUUACCUGUGUGUAGGCUCUGUGUAGUCAUCAGUACCACUAUCAUGUAACCUUUAUUUAUCCCCUGUUAUGUGCUUGGAAGUAAAACAAAAGAACGAUGAAUAUUUCUUUUUAAACAUGUUUAGAUGCAACCGCUCCUAAGCAUACUUGAAUAUUUCAGCUAUGACGAAGAAAUGGAAAGGUGUCAUUGAUUUAUUCAUGUGCGUUGGAUGCUUUGGCCCACCGUACAACUUCAAAUAUUGUUGGAAUCAAUCCAUUUCCUUACUUUACUAAGUACCUGCCAG